rnacentral:rRNA from 1 species
AUGAACGCUAGCGGCAGGCCUAACACAUGCAAGUCGAGGGGCAGCACAGGUAGCAAUACUGGGUGGCGACCGGCGGAUGGGUGCGUAACGCGUAUGCAACCUACCAUUGAUUGGGGCAUAGCCCGAAGAAAUUCGGAUUAAUGCCCCAUAGCGUAUUGAGUUGGCAUCAGCACAAUACUAAAGUCACAACGGUUCAAGAUGGGCAUGCGUCCCAUUAGUUAGUUGGUAAGGUAACGGCUUACCAAGACGAUGAUGGGUAGGGGUCCUGAGAGGGAGAUCCCCCACACUGGUACUGAGACACGGACCAGACUCCUACGGGAGGCAGCAGUGAGGAAUAUUGGUCAAUGGGCGCAAGCCUGAACCAGCCAUGCCGCGUGCAGGAUGAAGCAUCUAUGGUGUGUAAACUGCUUUUGUACGGGAAGAAACAGCUCUUCGUGAAGAGCCUUGACGGUACCGUAAGAAUAAGGAUCGGCUAACUCCGUG